rnacentral:rRNA from 1 species
CAGUGGGGGCAAGCGUUGUUCGGAAUUACUGGGCGUAAAGGGCGCGUAGGCGGCCUGCUAAGUCGAACGUGAAAUCCCUGGGCUCAACCCAGGAACUGCGUCCGAUACUGGUUGGCUUGAAUCCGGGAGAGGGACGUGGAAUUCCAGGUGUAGCGGUGAAAUGCGUAGAUAUCUGGAGGAACACCGGUGGCGAAGGCGACGUCCUGGACCGGUAUUGACGCUGAGGCGCGAAAGCCAGGGGAGCAAACGGGAUUAGAUACCCCGGUAGUCCUGGCCCUAAACGAUGAAUGCUUGGUGUGGCGGGUAUCGAUCCCUGCCGUGCCGAAGCUAACGCAAUAAGCAUUCCGCCUGGGGAGUACGGUCGCAAGGCUG